GUUAAGUUGCAGGGUAUAGACCCGAAACCCGGUGAUCUAGCCAUGGGCAGGUUGAAGGUUGGGUAACACUAACUGGAGGACCGAACCGACUAAUGUUGAAAAAUUAGCGGAUGACCUGUGGCUGGGGGUGAAAGGCCAAUCAAACCGGGAGAUAGCUGGUUCUCCCCGAAAGCUAUUUAGGUAGCGCCUCGUGAAUUCAUCUCCGGGGGUAGAGCACUGUUUCGGCUAGGGGGCCAUCCCGGCUUACCAACCCGAUGCAAACUGCGAAUACCGGAGAAUGUUAUCACGGGAGACACACGGCGGGUGCUAACGUCCGUCGUGAAGAGGGAAACAACCCAGACCGCCAGCUAAGGUCCCAAAGUCAUGGUUAAGUGGGAAACGAUGUGGGAAGGCCCAGACAGCCAGGAUGUUGGCUUAGAAGCAGCCAUCAUUUAAAGAAAGCGUAAUAGCUCACUGGUCGAGUCGGCCUGCGCGGAAGAUGUAACGGGGCUAAACCAUGCACCGAAGCUGCGGCAGCGACACUGUGUGUUGUUGGGUAGGGGAGCGUUCUGUAAGCCUGUGAAGGUGUGUCGUGAGGCAUGCUGGAGGUAUCAGAAGUGCGAAUGCUGACAUAAGUAACGAUAAAGCGGGUGAAAAGCCCGCUCGCCGGAAGACCAAGGGUUCCUGUCCAACGUUAAUCGGGGCAGGGUGAGUCGACCCCUAAGGCGAGGCCGAAAGGCGUAGUCGAUGGGAAACGGGUUAAUAUUCCCGUACUUGGUGUUACUGCGAAGGGGGGACGGAGAAGGCUAUGUUGGCCGGGCGACGGUUGUCCCGGUUUAAGCGUGUAGGUGUGUGUUCCAGGUAAAUCCGGUUCACUUUAACACUGAGGCGUGACGACGAGGCACUACGGUGCUGAAGCAACAAAUGCCCUGCUUCCAGGAAAAGCCUCUAAGCAUCAGGUAACAUCAAAUCGUACCCCAAACCGACACAGGUGGUCAGGUAGAGAAUACCAAGGCGCUUGAGAGAACUCGGGUGAAGGAACUAGGCAAAAUGGUGCCGUAACUUCGGGAGAAGGCACGCUGACACGUAGGUGAAGUGAUUUACUCAUGGAGCUGAAGUCAGUCGAAGAUACCAGCUGGCUGCAACUGUUUAUUAAAAACACAGCACUGUGCAAACACGAAAGUGGACGUAUACGGUGUGACGCCUGCCCGGUGCCGGAAGGUUAAUUGAUGGGGUCAGCGCAAGCGAAGCUCCUGAUCGAAGCCCCGGUAAACGGCGGCCGUAACUAUAACGGUCCUAAGGUAGCGAAAUUCCUUGUCGGGUAAGUUCCGACCUGCACGAAUGGCGUAAUGAUGGCCAGGCUGUCUCCACCCGAGACUCAGUGAAAUUGAACUCGCUGUGAAGAUGCAGUGUACCCGCGGCAAGACGGAAAGACCCCGUGAACCUUUACUAUAGCUUGACACUGAACAUUGAGCCUUGAUGUGUAGGAUAGGUGGGAGGCUUUGAAGCGUGGACGCCAGUCUGCGUGGAGCCGACCUUGAAAUACCACCCUUUAAUGUUUGAUGUUCUAACGUGGACCCGUGAUCCGGGUUGCGGACAGUGUCUGGUGGGUAGUUUGACUGGGGCGGUCUCCUCCUAAAGAGUAACGGAGGAGCACGAAGGUUGGCUAAUCCUGGUCGGACAUCAGGAGGUUAGUGCAAUGGCAUAAGCCAGCUUGACUGCGAGCGUGACGGCGCGAGCAGGUGCGAAAGCAGGUCAUAGUGAUCCGGUGGUUCUGAAUGGAAGGGCCAUCGCUCAACGGAUAAAAGGUACUCCGGGGAUAACAGGCUGAUACCGCCCAAGAGUUCAUAUCGACGGCGGUGUUUGGCACCUCGAUGUCGGCUCAUCACAUCCUGGGGCUGAAGUAGGUCCCAAGGGUAUGGCUGUUCGCCAUUUAAAGUGGUACGCGAGCUGGGUUUAGAACGUCGUGAGACAGUUCGGUCCCUAUCUGCCGUGGGCGCUGGAGAACUGAGGGGGGCUGCUCCUAGUACGAGAGGACCGGAGUGGACGCAUCACUGGUGUUCGGGUUGUCAUGCCAAUGGCACUGCCCGGUAGCUAAAUGCGGAAGAGAUAAGUGCUGAAAGCAUCUAAGCACGAAACUUGCCCCGAGAUGAGUUCUCCCUGAGACUUUAGGUCUCCUGAAGGAACGUUGAAGACGACGACGUUGAUAGGCCGGGUGUGUAAGCGCAGCGAUGCGUUGAGCUAACCGGUACUAAUGAACCGUGAGGCUUAACCUUACAACGCCG
rnacentral:rRNA from 1 species